AUCUAUGGCCAUAAUACCCUGAUCUUGGGAACUAAGUAGAGUCAGGCCUGGCCAGCACUUGGAUGAGAGAAUGCCUGAGAAUACCAGGUGCUCUGGGCU
rnacentral:rRNA from 1 species